AUUGAACGCUGGCGGCAGGCCUAACACAUGCAAGUCGAACGAGUGGCGGACGGGUUAGUAAUGUCUGGGAACCUGCCUGAUGGAGGGGGAUAACUACUGGAAACGGUAGCUGAUUACGCAUACCAUCGGCGGUGCCCAGCUUGGAUUAGCUUGUUGGUGGGGUAACGGCUAACCAAGGCGACGAUCCGUAGCUGGUCUGAGAGGAGGACCAGCCACACUGGAACUGAGACACGGGCCAGACUCCUACGGGAGGCAGCAGUGGGGAAUUUUGCACAAUGGGCGAAAGCCUGAUGCAGCCAUGCCGCGUGUAUGAAGAAGGCCUUCGGGUUGUAAAGCACUUUUAGCGGGGAGGCGUUACCCGCAGAAGAAGCACCGGCUAACUCCGUGCCAGCAGCCGCGGUAAUUC
rnacentral:rRNA from 1 species